GGACCCGCACAAGUAGUGGAACAUGUGGUUUAAUUCGACGCAACGCGAAGAACCUUAUCCUGGUCUUGACAUCCUUGGACCGGCUUGGAAACAAGCCUUUUUCUUCGGAAACUAAGAGACAGGUGCUGCAUGGCUGUCGUCAGCUCGUGUCGUGAGAUGUUGGUUAAGUCCCGUAACGAGCGCAACCCACGCCUCUUGUUGCCACCAUUCAGUUGGGCACUCUAGAGGGACCGCCGGCGUUAAGCCGGAGGAAGGUGUGGAUGACGUCAAGUCCUCAUGGCCCUUAUGACCAGGGCUACACACGUGUUACAAUGGUAUCUACAACAGGAAGCAAGACUGCGAGGUCAAGCAAA
rnacentral:rRNA from 1 species